rnacentral:rRNA from 1 species
GAUGAACGCUGGCGGCGUGCUUAACACAUGCAAGUCGAGCGAACAGACGAGGAGCUUGCUCCUCUGACGUUAGCGGCGGACGGGUGAGUAACACGUGGAUAACCUACCUAUAAGACUGGGAUAACUUCGGGAAACCGGAGCUAAUACCGGAUAAUAUAUUGAACCGCAUGGUUCAAUAGUGAAAGACGGUUUUGCUGUCACUUAUAGAUGGAUCCGCGCUGCAUUAGCUAGUUGGUAAGGUAACGGCUUACCAAGGCAACGAUGCGUAGCCGACCUGAGAGGGUGAUCGGCCACACUGGAACUGAGACACGGUCCAGACUCCUACGGGAGGCAGCAGUAGGGAAUCUUCCGCAAUGGGGGAAAGCCUGACGGAGCAACGCCGCGUAAGUGAUGAAGGUCUUCGGAUCGUAAGACUCUGUUAUUAGGGAAGAACAAAUGUGUAAGUAACUAUGCACGUCUUGACGGUACCUAAUCAGAAGGCCACGGCUAACUACGUG